ensembl:rRNA 5S_rRNA 5S ribosomal RNA
AUCUAUGGCUAUACCACCCUGAACAUGCUUGAUCUUGUCUGAGCUCAGAAGCUAAGCAUGGUCGGACCUGGUUAGUUCUUGGAUGGGAGACAGAGAUUAUGGAAGAUGAGGAGUUAUGGAUA